rnacentral:rRNA from 1 species
CCUACGGGGUGCAGCAGUGAGGAAUAUUGGUCAAUGGACGAGAGUCUGAACCAGCCAAGUAGCGUGAAGGAUGACUGCCCUAUGGGUUGUAAACUUCUUUUAUAUGGGAAUAAAAUGUUCCACGUGUGGGAUUUUGUAUGUACCAUAUGAAUAAGGAUCGGCUAACUCCGUGCCAGCAGCCGCGUUAAUACGGAGGAUCCGAGCGUUAUCCGGAUUUAUUGGGUUUAAAGGGAGCGUAGGUGGAUUGUUAAGUCAGUUGUGAAAGUUUGCGGCUCAACCGUAAAAUUGCAGUUGAAACUGGCAGUCUUGAGUACAGUAGAGGUGGGCGGAAUUCGUGGUGUAGCGGUGAAAUGCUUAGAUAUCACGAAGAACUCCGAUUGCGAAGGCAGUUCACUGGACUGCAACUGACACUGAGGCUCGAAAGUGUGGGUAUCAAACAGGAUUAGAUACCCCUGUAGUC